GGACUGCUGGUACGAAAAAAAAUAAUGGGGAUUCCAAGCUCCUUUGCAACAUCAAGAGCAAAGCCUGAAAACCCAUCUGCAAUUAUGCAAUCUACUGGUGGGCUACUAUUCACAAGUACCUCUCUCAAACUUUGCUUCAUCUUAAGUUCCAUGGUUUCUUCAAACAUAUCAAGGAACCAGCUCCCUGACCUAGGAUGAUCAAGAGGGAGACCAUCGGUUAUGGUCUUGAAUUUGAACCCUGGGUAUCUUUCAAAAUGGGCAGCAAUAUUGUUGAACUUGACCAAGCGUUUAUGGUUGUGGUGGGAGUUGAGGAAAGUGAGCUUGAAGCCGGCGAUAGCUAGCAGUUCAGCUAGCUUAAUCAUGGAGUUUAUAUGGCCUUGUAAUGGGAAGGGGAAGACGAGGACAUGUGGAGGAUGGGAUUGAGAGGAUCCAUCCUGCUCCAUCUAAUUGGAGGAUCUGUUUUGAGGGGCUUUUUGAGUUUUAU